rnacentral:rRNA from 1 species
UGGGAAUCUUGCACAAUGGGGGAAACCCUGAUGCAGCGACGCCGCGUGAGUGAUGAAGCCCUUCGGGGUGUAAAGCUCUUUCGGCAGGGACGAUAAUGACGGUACCUGCAGAAGAAGCUGCGGCUAACUACGUGCCAGCAGCCGCGGUAAUACGUAGGCAGCAAGCGUUGUUCGGAAUUACUGGGCGUAAAGAGUGCGUAGGCGGUUUGGCAAGUUUGGUGUGAAAUCUCCUGGCUUAACUGGGAGGGUGCGCCGAAAAACUGUCAGGCUAGAGUGUGGGAGAGGAAAGCGGAAUUCCUGGUGUAGCGGUGAAAUGCGUAGAUAUCAGGAGGAACACCUGCGGUGUAGACGGCUUUCUGGACCACUACUGACGUUGAGGCACGAAAGCGUGGGGAGCAAACAGGAUUAGAUACCCGGGUAGUCCACGCCCUAAAACGAUGCGGACUUGGUGUUGGCCCUUCAUUGGGUCAGUGCCGCAGUUAAACGCGGUAAAGUCCGCCGCCUGGGGAGUACGGUCGCAAAGGCUGAAACUCAAAUGAA